rnacentral:rRNA from 1 species
AGCGAACGCUGGCGGCAGGCCUAACACAUGCAAGUCGAACGAACCUUUCGGGGUUAGUGGCGGACGGGUGAGUAACACGUGGGAACGUGCCUUUAGGUUCGGAAUAACUCAGGGAAACUUGUGCUAAUACCGAAUGUGCCCUUCGGGGGAAAGAUUAAUCGCCUUUAGAGCGGCCCGCGUCUGAUUAGCUAGUUGGUUGAGGUAAUGGCUCACCAAGGCGACGAUCAGUAGCUGGUCUGAGAGGAUGAUCAGCCACAUUGGGACUGAGACACGGCCCAAACUCCUACGGGAGGCAGCAGUGGGGAAUCUUGCGCAAUGGGCGAAAGCCUGGCGCAGCCAUGCCGCGUGAAUGAUGAAGGUCUUAGGAUUGUAAAAUUCUUUCACCGGGGACGAUAAUGACGGUACCCGGAGAAGAAGCCCCGGCUAACUUCGUG